GCACAAGCGGUGGAGCAUGUGGAUUAAUUCGAUGCAACGCGAAGAACCUUACCUGGGUUUGACAUGCACAGGAUGUGCCUAGAGAUAGGUAUUCCCUUGUGGCCUGUGUGCAGGUGGUGCAUGGCUGUCGUCAGCUCGUGUCGUGAGAUGUUGGGUUAAGUCCCGCAACGAGCGCAACCCCCGUCCUUAGUUGCUACCAUUUAGUUGAGCACUCUAAGGAGACUGCCGGUGAUAAGCCGCGAGGAAGGUGGGGAUGACGUCAAGUCCUCAUGGCCCUUACGGGCUGGGCUACACACGUGCUACAAUGGCGGUGACAAUGGGAUGCUAAGGGGCGACCCUUCGCAAAUCUCAAAAAGCCGUCUCAGUUCGGAUUGGGCUCUGCAACUCGAGCCCAUGAAGUUGGAAUCGCUAGUAAUCGUGGAUCAGCACGCCACGGUGAAUACGUUCCCGGGC
rnacentral:rRNA from 1 species